GUCAUGAAUUUAGUGAGUAGGAUGAUAUUUUAAGCACAGUGUUUUCAUCAACUAUUUUACAGCUCCAUCUUUCCCUGUUUCUAAUUUACUGCUGUGCCGAUCCGUGGCUGAAAUUUAAGGAGGCUGAUCCUCUCAAAAUUCUCUGCCGCUUUAUUAUUUGUGACUAGCUUCUCUUUCUAUAUAGCAGGCGAGUGAGGCGAUUAUUACCCAGCCUUUGGUGGAAAAGAUCCGCUUCUAGGAAGAGGCACCUGACUGACUGUCUGGUGAGGUCGUCAAACACUGGGCAGGAUUUUGCUGAGCAGAACGGCCCCUUCCAUUACAGAUCGUCUGGGGUCUCCAUGGCUGUUUCCAGCAGGCACUGCCCUGGGGGCAAGUAAAGCUGAGGCCUGUGGCCCCGUGAGGACUCAGAAGUCCUGAAGGAGGGUAGAGUCACAAGACUAAGGGGCAGACUGUCCCCCAACAAGCUACAUGGAUUUCAGGUGAGUGAAAAUACAUUUCUAAAUCACUGAGAGUUUGAGGUGAUUUGAUGUAGCAGAGGGCAUUAUACUAAUAGAACUGAUAUAUAAUUUAAAUAUUUCUA
rnacentral:lncRNA from 1 species